GGGAGACUGCUGAGGGAGGACCGGGCGGCGCUGGCGGGAGGAGGGGAGGGAGGCUAUCGCGGGGACGACUAACGGCGGGGAAGACGCCUGAGGGGUCAUUUGGGGAUGAGAAGGCCAGAAUAUUCUCUAUGGACAGCAUCCUGCUCAAACUGCACUGAAGAACUAAAAGAGUAUUCCAAGUUUGGCAAAGUCCAAACUGAAGAAAGAAAAGUGAAUAGCAAAACAUGAGAAACACUUGUCUAUAUAAGAACUAUUUUCAAUCAUCUCUUUGGGGAAGAAUGGAAUUUAGGUCCUUCAGAAUAUGAUAAAAGCAGGAAACAGUCAGUGCUGGAGAACUUAAUUACCUGAGGGAGCCUGGGCACAACUAGUUCAGCAUAAGGGCUCUCUGCUGUGGGGUUUUGGAGACAUUUGAUGCAUUACCCGAGAGUCUUAGGGAUACUGAAUGAAAUCGCUCUUUA